rnacentral:rRNA from 1 species
AACGAACGCUGGCGGCAUGCCUAACACAUGCAAGUCGAACGAGAUCUUCGGGUCUAGUGGCGCACGGGUGCGUAACGCGUGGGAAUCUGCCCUUUGGUCCGGAAUAACAGUUGGAAACGACUGCUCAUACCGGAUGAUGACGAAAGUCCAAAGAUUUAUCGCCUGAGGAUGAGCCCGUGUAGGAUUAGCUAGUUGGUGUGGUAAAGGCGCACCAAGGCGACGAUCCGUAGCUGCGCUGAGAGGAUGAUCAGCCACACUGGGACUGAGACACGGCCCAGACACCUACGGGAGGCAGCAGUGGGGAAUAUUGGACAAUGGGCGAAAGCCUGAUGCAGCAAUGCCGCGUGAGUGUUGAAGGCCUUAGGGUUGUAAAGCUCUUUCACCCGGGAUGAUAAUGACAGUACCGGGAGAAUAAGCUCCGGCUAACUCCGUGCCAGCAGCCGCCGUAA